CUAUGGGUUGCAGCAGUGAGGAAUAUUGCACAAUGGGGGGAACCCUGAUGCAGCAACGCCGCGUGGAGGAUGACGCAUUUCGGUGUGUAAACUCCUUUUAUAUGUCAAGAAAAUGACGGUAGCAUAUGAAUAAGCACCGGCUAACUCCGUGCCAGCAGCCGCGGUAAUACGGAGGGUGCAAGCGUUACUCGGAAUCACUGGGCGUAAAGGACGCGUAGGCGGGUUGGAAAGUCAGGUGUGAAAUCCUACAGCUUAACUGUAGAACUGCACUUGAAACUUCUAAUCUAGAGUAUGGGAGGGGGAGAUGGAAUUAGUGGUGUAGGGGUAAAAUCCGUAGAUAUCACUAGGAAUACCUAAAGCGAAGGCGAUCUCCUGGAACAUUACUGACGCUAAGGCGUGAAAGCGUGGGGAGCAAACAGGAUUAGAUACCCCCGUAGUC
rnacentral:rRNA from 1 species